CGCGCCGCGCCAAGGACCCCUCCCGGCGAAGGCGGAGCGGGAACGGCGUGAGGGGAGAAUGGGGUGUGUGAGGGGAUAAGGGGUUCGCACACCGGGUCUGAGGAGAUCCCUUCGCACCUGCUGGGUUCUGUGUCUCCCAUGGAAGGCAACACACUUCCCGUGCCUCCCCUGCUCCGGAGUCCACCCCUUGACCUGAGAAUACUCUCUUCUGGCUGCUGCAGCCAAAUGUGACCGAGGUCCCCGAGAUAAUGAAGCUCCUGCCUAUAAAAAUUGGUAACUGAGGAGAAAGGUCCUUCAAAACCUGCACUUCUUCUGGGCCAAACGCCUCACUAGAACCACCGUUAACUACAAGGCAUAGGCCAGCCAGAUAAAUCAUAAAGUUUAUUUUCCCCACUUUAUUACAAAAUGAAUGUGAAACGUGGCUAUCCUAUUCCUAAAAAUGGAAUCAGUGGGAGCUUUUAGUUUGGACUUGCCAUCACUGCUGUUGGGAGAGGAGUACAGCUCUCAGCAAACAAAUACGCCAGGCAGCAAAACAUCACCAGCACUGGGCUUCAGAAACCAUCUGACUGACAGAACAGCCAUUUUUUACUAGUUUGGGUGUGUCUGAAUCCAGGAAGGCAGCCACAGACCCAGCUGUGUGGGAUCUGCCUGCAGUACCAUUUGCAGGCACUUCAGUACAGUGGAGCACAGCUCUGUGAAGACAAACCUGCUAAAUAAACAGAUGUAAGAACAACCCUACUCCUGAAUGAGAAAAACAUUACACCUUCCAGACUAGAAGCAAGAAACUACAAAGCUCAAUUCUGCCAAGCUACUCUCACACCCCAGGGUUAGGUAAGUGCAGUUGUCUCCAAGUAUUCACUCCUUGGUUUGGUUCCCAUUAAGGGGAAUCCUCACACUCAGACAUCUGCUGACCAAGCUGCUCCUACAAAAUGACACCAAUUUCACAAGACCAUCACUGGGCUCUGUUUAAGGUAAUUUUCCUUCUUUAAGUGUUACAGUGUACAUGUUAUCGAUGAAUAAACCACUUAAAGUCAUGUGCAAGUUGAACAAAACCCUGCUUUAAGAAGGCUUAAAAUCUAGAAUCCUCAAAAAAAAAAUAUGUAAAACUCUCAAGUUCUUAAAGAAGAAGCACACUCCCUGACCAGCUGCCCCUUUGAAGUUGCCAGUCAUCUCUCUCUAAUUUAGGUUCAGUUCAUGAAAUACAAC